UACGAAGGGGGCUAGCGUUGCUCGGAAUUACUGGGCGUAAAGCGCACGUAGGCGGCUUUCUAAGUCGGGGGUGAAAUCCUGGAGCUCAACUCCAGAACUGCCUUUGAUACUGAAGAUCUUGAGUGCGGGAGAGGUGAGUGGAACUGCGAGUGUAGAGGUGAAAUUCGUAGAUAUUCGCAAGAACACCAGUGGCGAAGGCGGCUCACUGGCCCGAUACUGAUGCUGAGGCACGAAAGCGUGGGGAGCAAACAGG
rnacentral:rRNA from 1 species